rnacentral:rRNA from 1 species
AGUGAACGCUGGCGGUAGGCCUAACACAUGCAAGUCGAACGGCAGCACAGUAAGAGCUUGCUCUUACGGGUGGCGAGUGGCGGACGGGUGAGGAAGACAUCGGAAUCUACUUUUUCGUGGGGGAUAACGGAGGGAAACUUACGCUAAUACCGCAUACGACAUACGGGUGAAAGCAGGGGAUCUUCGGACCUUGCGCGAUUGAAUGAGCCGAUGUCGGAUUAGCUAGUUGGCGGGGUAAAGGCCCACCAAGGCGACGAUCCGUAGCUGGUCUGAGAGGAUGAUCAGCCACACUGGAACUGAGACACGGUCCAGACUCCUACGCGAGGCAGCAGUGGGGCAUAUUGGACAAUGGGCGCAAGCCUGAUCCAGCCAUCCCGCGUGGCUGAAGAAGGCCUUCGGGUUGUAAAGCCCUUUUGUUGGGAAAGAAAAGCAGCAGGUUAAUACCCCGCUGUUCUGACGGUACCCAAAGAAUAAGCACCGGCUAACUUCGUG